rnacentral:rRNA from 1 species
UGAGCCUGAGGAGCACGCCGCGUGAGUGAUGAAGGUCUUCGGAUCGUAAAACUCUGUUAUUAGGGAAGAACAAAUGUGUAAGUAACUAUGCACGUCUUGACGGUACCUAAUCAGAAAGCCACGGCUAACUACGUGCCAGCAGCCGCGGUAAUACGUAGGUGGCAAGCGUUAUCCGGAAUUAUUGGGCGUAAAGCGCGCGUAGGCGGUUUUUUAAGUCUGAUGUGAAAGCCCACGGCUCAACCGUGGAGGGUCAUUGGAAACUGGAAAACUUGAGUGCAGAAGAGGAAAGUGGAAUUCCAUGUGUAGCGGUGAAAUGCGCAGAGAUAUGGAGGAACACCAGUGGCGAAGGCGACUUUCUGGUCUGUAACUGACGCUGAUGUGCGAAAGCGUGGGGAUCAAACAGGAUUAGAUACCCUGGUAGUCCACGCCGUAAACGAUGAGUGCUAAGUGUUAGGGGGUUUCCGCCCCUUAGUGCUGCAGCUAACGCAUUAAGCACUCCGCCUGGGGAGUACGACCGCAAGGUUGAAACUCAAAGGAAUUUGACGGA